rnacentral:rRNA from 1 species
UGAGUAACCUGCCCUUAACUCUGGGAUAAGCCUGGGAAACUGGGUCUAAUACCGGAUAUGACUCCUCAUCGCAUGGUGGGGGGUGGAAAGCUUUUUGUGGUUUUGGAUGGACUCGCGGCCUAUCAGCUUGUUGGUGAGGUAAUGGCUCACCGAGGCGACGACGGGUAGCCGGCCUGAGAGGGUGACCGGCCACACUGGGACUGAGACACGGCCCAGACUCCUACGGGAGGCAG